CUCUGUUUUCCCUUUCUUCUUUUUUCUCACUACUUAUACCUGACACAGAGCAAUCUUGGAAGGGGGCAUCAGGAGGAUGUGACUACUGGUUGACCCUUGAGCUGGAUUCAGGCAUUUAAGGCUCCUUAACCCCUCCCCUGUCCCUGGAAUGUGUUUCACUUGCCCUCCCUGCAGGAGAAGCCCCACCAAAUACACAGCCUUGUGACAGUAAUGUGUUUGUUGAGAUAAAAAGCCAGGCUGAAACUCUCCGCCAGCUCCCAUCUGUCAAAUCCAUUCUCCCAUUUCCAUCGUUCAUCAGUAAAGCCAUCUCACUCCCAGCCUGAGACUGAACGAAGCUCUGAGGAUUGUCAUGGGAAGAUGCAGAGACCUGUGUCCCCAGGGAUAUUCUUGAGCCACCAAAUCAAACAACUCCAGCACCCACAGGACCUGAGAGCUCUUAUGAGAGAUGAUACAUGCCCUGACUGUUUAAGUCAGUUUGAAUUGAGCUUACUGUUGGGUGAAGCCCAAAGUAUCCCAGGAAAGAUGUAGUUUUAUGGGUGAGCACUGCUGUCCAGGCUUGGAGGAAGGCAAAGGGCUUCGUGGAAGUAUGAAGGCCUUUGAGAAGAAAUGAGAAAGACAUUCCAGAGGGUUUGUGUACACUAAAAUGAGUUACUGAUGGAGACUGCUUUUCCAGGCCUCUAAAAAUAGGAUGGAGCCUCAUUCUUCUGGUAUGAUUUCAACUAUUCCCAUUGAAAGGCAGAGGGAAGGGCUAGAAUAGCUGAUUUUAAAAGGUCAAAUUCUGAGGGGUCACAAUGCCCGCUUUCAUAAUACUCUGAAGCCUGAAUUUUAUCUUUUUAAUCUUUCAACAGUAAAUACAUCUUGAGAUAGUUUUUUUUUAAUUCACAAAGAGAAAAGAAAACAAGAAAGAGAUGAUCAUAUUCCUACAAUUAUGCAACCUAGUGUCAGGGAAAUAAAAAAAUACAUAUUUUCUAAUGGAAUGUACUUAUAAUGCCAGAAUAUGAUUUUGUAAUGCUUUCUAUAAAUCUCCUCAAUAAACGAUUUCAACUCUAAACUAAUGUAAUC